UCCAGAUACGGCGACUUAACCCCAACAGGUGUUUAUGGUAAGCUUGUUGGUGGUUUAUGUGCAUUAAUUGGAGUAUUAACACUUGCCUUACCUGUACCAAUAAUUGUAAGUAUU
rfam:Thelazia callipaeda genome assembly, scaffold: TCLT_scaffold0000874